AAAGCAUGUGGGCAUUUCCUCAAUAACUCCUUGUACCUUUCCCAAGACUCGCAUAGAGAUUCAGUUUCUUGUUGCACAAAAGUCAUGAUUUCAUUUCUCAUUCU